GGCCUGACGCCGCAGAUGGGGUGACUGGACUACCGACGAAUCAUCAUCUUUUCCAGCGUUCAGAAUCGCGCGCGGAGGCUUCCGCCCGAUGCUCUCUCUCGGGUGUUUGUGAUCCGAGCUUGGGUGCUGCUUUUCUUCUCCGACUGAUCCCUCGUUCCCGCGGUCCCAGGUGGAGCAGAGCAGCUGGAACCACUUCCAGUGCGACAUCAACGAGACGGUCGUCCGGAGCACCGCGGACGCGCUCGUCGCCACCGGCCUCGCCAGGGCAGGGUACACGUACGUCAACCUAGAUGACUGCUGGGCAGAUUACCAAAGGACCAAAAAGGUAUAUCACCAGUAGUGCUAGCUAUUUCAGCUCAUCGUCAGUUACUGUACCUUUGCUGUUGGUUCCUGCACUGAGCAUUGUUCCAGCACGAUCGGUCUAGCUGCAAACUAGAACAGAUUAUCUUUGCUAGUAAUUGACUUGCUGACAGGGGUACCUGGUCGCUAAUCCCAAGACGUUCCCAUCUGGGAUCAAGGCCCUGGCGGAUUAUGUCCACGGCAAGGGGCUUAAGCUUGGCCUCUACUCUUCAGCUGGGUACGCAUCUACAACAGUGGAAAUUUUUUGGGAGGGGGGAGCAAUGAGGUGGAUCCAGCACAUUUGUCUUGUCCGGAAGUUCAGUUUUUGCACUUCUAGCAACUUUGUAACACAAGAUCUGCAUUUUUGCAUCAGGGGAUGUCUUUUUUCCUGUGGAUCUCUUUUUGUUGCUGGAACCCUAAAAACAUGUAUCUGUAGAUGAUGGGCACAUAUAAAAAUCUCUUGUGUCUGUUUUGCUUUUGUGUGCGGCAA